rnacentral:ribozyme from 1 species
UGCCCAGCAACUCCUAUCCCUACCUCCUCGCGGUACGCCGCUGGCCGGGGUACGAGUAACCUUAGGGAAGAUCGGGUAACCAACCCCGGUGGGAACUCUGGUCGUAUGUUGACAGGGAAAG